CCUACGGGAGGCAGCAGUGAGGAAUAUUGGUCAAUGGGCUUACGCCUGAACCAGCCAAGUCGCGUGAGGGAAGACUGCCCUAUGGGUUGUAAACCUCUUUUGUCAGGGAGCAAUUGGCGCUACGUGUAGCGUUAUCUAUAGUACCUGAAGAAAAAGCAUCGGCUAACUCCGUGCCAGCAACCACGGUAAUACGGAGGAUGCGAGUGUGAGCCGGAUUUAUUGGGUUAAAAGGGUGCGUAGGCGGAAUGCCAAGUCAGCGGUAAAAUCGCGGGGCUCAACCUCGCUCCGCCGUUGAAACUGGCGUUCUUGAGUGGGCGAGAAGUAUGCGGAAUGCGUGGUGUAGCGGUGAAAUGCAUAGAUAUCACGCAGAACACCGAUUGCGAAGGCAGCAUACCGGCGCCCAACUGACGCUGAAGCACGAAAGCGUGGGUAUCGAACAGGAUUAGAUACCCCAGUAGUC
rnacentral:rRNA from 1 species